AUUGCGUACGACCGAAUUUUCGAGAUAAAACCUUGGGAAUUCCCAAUACGAUUACACUGUUACCAAAUUAGUAAAAUUGUAAUGUUAAAAUCGCAGCUUUGUUUAGAGGUGUUUAGAGACAAAGUUAGGGAUAAAAAUUAACGGGGUAGUUCCUGGAAAGUGAGGACAAAUUGUUACUUUCACUCAGUGACUACAAAUGCAACAAGACUGAAUAGUAUAAACAGUUUGGUAAAAUUGAAUCUCAUCGUAGUAGUAUUAGUCCAUAUCAGUCUCGUUUAGAUUGACUAAUAUAUUUAACAUCAUAUAGCAAGAAGGGGAAUUAAAGGAAUUACUAUUUUAUAUAAUACAUAUAAUUAUACUGUGGCUACAAAAUGUUCACAUCGAGGAAAACUACUUUGUUGCUUUUCUUCUUUUUGUCAAUAUACAAAUUAAAUGGCAUUCAAAGUUCUUCUCUUCCAGUUGUUUUAUGGCAUGGAAUGGGAGAUAGCUGUUGUUUCUCAUUUAGUUUGGGUGCAUUAAAAAAGCUGAUAGAGGCAACAGUUCCUAAUAUCUAUGUAUAUUCCAUUCGUAUAGGAAAUAAUGAAAUAGAGGAUGUGGAACACAGUUAUUUUGGAAAUAUCAACCAAGAUAUACAAGAGAUCUGCCAGCGACUAUCAGCAGAUAAACGUUUCAAAGAUGGUUAUAACGCUAUUGGAUUCUCGCAAGGUGCUCAAUUUCUGAGAGCACUAAUUCAAAGAUGCCCUAAUCCUCCGAUUAAGAAUUUUAUUUCUGUGGGUGGUCAACAUCAAGGUGUUUUUGGAUUGCCAAUUUGUGGAACUGUAAAGAAAAGCGUUUGCAAUUACGUAAACCGAAUGAUCAAAUAUGGAGCAUACUUAAAAUUUGUUCAAGAAAAGUUUAUUCAAGCUACUUAUUGGCACGAUCCGUAUCAAGAAGAAGAAUACAAAGAAAAGAGUACAUUUAUGGCGGAUAUCAACAAUGAACGGUAUAUUAAUGAGACGUAUAAAGAAAAUCUACAAAAGUUAAAUGCCAUGGUGCUAAUUAAAUUUGCUAAUGAUACGAUAGUUUGGCCUCGAGAAACAGAAUGGUUCGGAUUUUACAAACCGGGACAAGCAACAGAAAUUCAGACCUUUGAAGAAACUGAUUUAUAUCGCAAGGAUCAACUGGGACUAAAAGCACUACUCGAAUCAGGAAAAAUUCAUUUCCUAUCAGUAACUGGAAAUCACCUACAGUUUGCAGAAAGUUGGUUUAUCGACCAUAUAAUUAAAGCAUAUUUAAUAAUGAAGAAGCAAGCCGUGUCCAACGUAACUUAACUUCAGUGAUAUUACGGACCUGUGCGGGUAUUAGUAAAGCCUACGUGAUUAAGACCGGUGACCCUUUUCAUUUUAUAGUAUUUCUUCUAAUAUUUUUGGAACUGAUUGUACCAUGGUGGUUCGAUAAAUCGUCGCCAUAUUAACAUUCGGCUGGAAUGUCCCGCCAUCAUGAUGGUUCCCCAGAUGGUGCUAUGGAACGAAUACCGUUCCUGAAUUUCCAUGUACGGUACCAACCAUCACUUGCUUUAAAGGAUUCUGAACCACCAAAACGCUGAAAGAAUUCCUGAGCUUUUGCUGAAAAAAUU